rnacentral:rRNA from 1 species
CCUACGGGUGGCAGCAGUGAGGAAUCUUGGUCAAUGGGCGAGAGCCUGAACCAGCCAAGUCGCGUGAAGGAUGAAGGAUCUAUGGUUUGUAAACUUCUUUUAUAUGGGAGUAAAGUGAGGAACGUGUACAGUUUUGUCUGUGCCAUAUGCAUAAGCAUAGGCUAACUCCGUGCCAGGAGCCGCGGUAAUACGGAGGCUCCGAUCGUUAUCCGUAUGUGUUGGGUUUAAAGGGUGCGUAGGGGGUUUAGUAAGUCUGCGGUGAAAUUGUGGGGCGAAAACAUAACAUUGCCGUUGAAACUGGUUGACUUGAGUAUAGGUGAGGUAGGCGGAAUGCGUGGUGUAGCGGUGAAAUGCAUAGAUAUCACGCAGAACGCCGAUGGCGAAGGCAGCUUACUAAACUAUAACUGACGCUGAGGCACGAAAGCGUGGGGAUCAAACAGGAUUAGAUACCCGAGUAGUC